rfam:Gossypium raimondii Chr05_contig_8, whole genome shotgun sequence.
UGUUAAAAAUUUUAUCUAUUUGUACUGUUAAAAACCGACAUAUUGAUGGAAUAAUUAGAUAGUGACACAUGACAUGCCACAUGACAUGCCACAUAUACCUCAAGCUGAGGUAUAGUGACCAAUUUUUAACAAUAGAAAUUGAUGAAUUUUUUAAUA